GUAUGUGUGCGUGUGUAUGUGUGUGUGUGUGUGUGUGCGCACGUGCGCACGUGCGUGUGUUGUGUGAUUUGCAGUGCAAGGUGCACUGAGUCUCGGAGUUGAUGUUGCCACCAUGCCGCGCAGUUACAUUGACUUCCUAUCGAUACCGGCCAUGAAGCUGGCCGAGCAGCUGACACUGAUUGACGCGAACCUGUUCCGUGCCGUGGUGCCCUACCACUGCCUGUCACACUUCUGGUCAAGACGUAGUUCCGUUAAGCCUGGCACGGAGCGGUGUGCAUCGGUCACCGCCACAAUCAACCAGUUCAACCGCGUGGCAAUGGUCCUGUCCACGUCGCUCAUGAAAGGUUUGCAG